rnacentral:lncRNA from 1 species
GGGUGACUUUAUGGUAAGGGCAGGAAAAACAAUAGAGAAGGGAAAAGCUGGCACAUGUUCACGAGAGAACACUGCAUUAUGAAAUGAAAUGUUCACGAGAGAACUGCGAAUCGUGAUAGUGCAGAGUGUUUUGCUGAUGAAGGUGUAAGACUCGUUGGUUCACCAACUCCAGAGCUUCCAGGGGAGAAAUCCGAAAGUGGCCCCGCACACGGAGGGCAAGGACAGACAGACGACGAGGCAGCCCCUCAAGACGGGCAGGAGGUGGCGGGUUUAAGAAGCAAGGGAACGGACACAGGAGUCUUGUCUCCAGAAGCCACAAGAGAGCUGGUUGUUAAACAUUUACCAACACAUCUGCUCUGAUGUCAACAAAUGCUAGGAUGGC